AGCGGACCACACAAGAGAGAUGGAGUGUAAACGAAAAACUAAAAGUGUUUAAAAAGCCGGAGCGUCGUCUUCAGAUGACAACGCCAAGUGUCACAUUCCCAUGUUCCCUUUCCCGGACGUUCCGCUGCUAAAACUCUGUUUUGGAUGGUGGUGUGUGAUCAUACAGGAAAUACUGUAAUCUGUCCAAAGAGAGGAGUCUGAGUCGACGGUCAUUUGAAGUGUGUAUUGUGAGACAAGACAAGUGCAUGUCAAGAUAAAGUACGUCCAUCUGCAUGUGUGUGUACUCUCUGAUAAACCGAGGAGUUUGUAGGGCGUGGGACCUAAACAGCCCUGAGCUGUGGGAGACAGCAGCACUCUGGGAGAUAAGAGUCCAGGAGGGGACAGAGUGCAAGCUGUCCUGAUGAGUCUCAACACCACCUUCACUACAACUCCCAGGAGGCAUUAGGACACAGAACACCUUGAAAAUCAAAUUUGUUGGGACUUACUGGUGCGCAGGGCGGAAGGCGUGACCUCGAUCUCACUGGCGACCUGGUAGGGAUGGAAGGCCGAGGCUCCACUGCUAGCACUGAGGUCUGCAGCGAACAGGUCGGGGCUCUGAGUCCCUGUGGAGCUGGCACUGGUACCAUCGCCUCCAUGAUGGGGCUCCUGUUCGUCGUACACUGCUAUCAACUGGAGGAGGGAUCAGAAGAUGUUGGAUUUGAGAAACAUGUUGGCUUUAUAUUGCAUCAAAUGACUAUAAUGAAAAGUCAAGAUCUCAGAAAGAAGUGGAACUGGCGGAAGAAGUACAAAAAAAUUACUGAAAAGUGAAUUACAUUUAUGAAAAGGUUUUUUUUUCUAUUUGCCAAAAAAAGCUUGAAACCCAAAUAAUCAUACCAUGCACAAGGAUAAUCUUGAAUUAUGAGAUAAAUUACAAUUAAAAAGAGAAAGAAAGGGACAAAAACAAAGACAUACUGUAUGAAUCUAAGAAAUUUUUUAUCCUUAAAUAAAGAAUAGAUUUUAAAAAAAAGGAAAGGAACAGAAGGUGGAUCCGGUUUGUAGGGAAGUUUUGCUUUUGCAGCAUGCGUGGUAAUAAGCCUUUAAUGCACGUACAGUGUUCAUACUGUUAAAAAAAGUUUAAUAUCUUUCGAUAACGAUAAUUAUCACGAUAAGUAUCAAAUCGUUAUUUCUUUCGAGUUUAAAGGCUGAUUUUUGCUCCUCAGUGAAAGUUGAAGAAACCUGA